rnacentral:rRNA from 1 species
CUUGGUCAUUUAGAGGAAGUAAAAGUCGUAUCAAGGUCUCCGUAGGUGAACCUGCGGAGGGAUCAUUAACAUAGGCCGUAAGCCCCUCUCCCAGAGAGGGCAGGCCGUAUCCCACACCCUUUGUGAACUACAACUCUGUUGCUUCGGGGGCGACCCUGCCGUCAGGCGGCGGUGCCCCCGGUGGCCUUCAACUCAACUCUGCAUCUUUUGCGUCGGAGUCUUUUAAAGAAAUAAACAAAACUUUCAACAACGUAUCUCUUGGUUCUGGCAUCGAUGAAGAACGCAGCGAAAUGCGAUAAGUAAUGUGAAUUGCAGAAUUCAGUGAAUCAUCGAAUCUUUGAACGCACAUUGCGCCCCGUGGUAUUCCGCGGGGCAUGCCUGUUCGAGCUUCAUUUCACCACUCAAGCCUAGCUUGGUAUUGGGCGCCGCGGCGAUCUCCAUCGCUGCGCGCCUUAAAGUCUCCGGCUGAGCAGUCUGUCUCCGAGCGUUGUGACACAUGUCGCUAGGGAGUGCAGGUCUGCCGCGGCCGUUAAAUCUUUUAUUAAGGUUGACCUCGGAUCAGGUAGGGAUACCCGCU